ensembl:lncRNA
GCUUAAGCUGAAUUGUGUUCAAUUUAAAGGCAUGCAAACUUCAGUAACACUUUGAGUUAUGUUUAAUGCUUUUCUUGUUUUAUAAUAAAGUGAUGAUUAGAUCAGAGACUGACAUGGGCGGAGGCAAAUGCUGGAAACCACAAUCUAAACUUUGUUCCCAUAAAAACUCUUGGCUAAUUUGCAAGUGAUGCACGGAGUCCAGUUGAGCUGUACUCGGCCAUGGAAAAAAGAAAGGAGAAGGAGUUCACCCUCCGCUUGCAGAGGGAUGGUGUGUCCCCUGAGGCUUCAGUAGAGGAGCGUGAGCUGCACCUGUGGCGUUUGCUCCAGCGCAGUGAGGGCAGCCUGUGUGCAGCCACUGAAGACCUGCAGACUUUACGCACCCAGCAGGCCAGCGAGAUGAUAGAGGUGAGCCAGCAGAUGGCAGGCUGGGCAUCCGCCUUAAAGAAUAGCUAAUGAUGGUCUCCCUCAUCAGCACUGUUAUAUGACGACACUGUUUCCUGAGUAAACACACUGCUUCUGUAGCUGAUGCUUCUGCUGUGCUGUGUGAUUGUUUGAUGGGUUUUUUCAAGGUGGAAAAUUACAUGGAGCAUAUUCGAAACAUGCUGGAGGAGCGGGAAUCUCUUACAGCAUAGUAUGAACAUGACAGCGAACAGCUCCGUGCUGAGCUCACUCUAAUGAAACACCAACAGGACUCUCAGUGUAAGGAGGUGGUGGAGAUGCUGGAGCAGGAGGGUCUAGCAGAGAUCAGUCAGAGCAGUGCCAGUGAGCAGGUGGCCUAUCUGCUGGUGGAGAGAGUCACUCUGCUGGAGAGACUGGAGGCUGCGGAAAGAAAACUGGACACCCAGACCCUUACCGGCAACCUCAGAGAGGUGCAUCUACAGGAAGAGCUGGAUCAUAUGCGUCACACAACAGAAGAGGAACUCAGGCAGCAAAAGGAAAACAUGAAUGAGGAAUCAUCAGUUCAGAGUCCUUGGAGGAAGUUCUUUGGUGUGUGCAAGGCUACACUAAGAGCACAGAACCUUCCUGUAUGUUUCGAUUGGACUCAUAAAAAAGGCCUUGAGAGGAUGAUCCACUUAAAGCAGAUUAGGACAGCUCUGUGGUCACCUCAUGAAAUAAUGCAUGCCUUGGUUGAACACAAUGCAGAGAAUAACAAUAUUCUUAGCAUGAUCACAUUACCUCCUCUUAUUUUCACUCUGGACCCUAACAGCACUAUAGACCCUUUCAUUCAGGGUGGUUACUAA